rnacentral:antisense_RNA from 1 species
UCUCACUCCUCAGGUCAGCAAAAGUGUCAAUGAUAACCCCAAAAAUCAGGUUAAGAACAAUGAUGAUGACCAUGAAGAAGAACAAGAGGUCAUAAAUCACUCUAGCAGCAAACAGGGGUUCCUGGAAAAGAGAGGGGUCUGGAUCAGUCUGGGUCCCUUGCGACCCUUUGGUCUGCAGAGCCUGGGGCACAGCUCAAGUGAGACCUCGUCUACUUGGGUAGAAAUUAAAUUGGGCAUUAAACUUUUAAACUGAAAACUGCAUCUCUUUUCAUAUCCCCUGUCUCAAUUGUGACUUCUCCAAGUGUGGUGUGACACAGCCAGGAGGGAUAUUCGCCGGACCAGCUCUGUGAACACGGCAAGUAAUAACAGACAGAAAACGUGAUGAGAAAAGAGAGACCGGGAUUUUGAAAUCCUAUUUCCUGAAUGCCAUCUCACCAGGCACACGGAAGAAUAAA